UGUACGUUGCAAAAAUUUCUA
ensembl:piRNA 21ur-12214 ncRNA